GAUGAACGCUGGCGGCGUGCCUAAUACAUGCAAGUCGAGCGAACGGACGAGAAGCUUGCUUUUCUGAUGUUAGCGGCGGACGGGUGAGUAACACGUGGAUAACCUACCUAUAAGACUGGGAUAACUUCGGGAAACCGGAGCUAAUACCGGAUAAUAUUUUGAACCGCAUGGUUCAAAAGUGAAAGACGGUCUUGCUGUCACUUAUAGAUGGAUCCGCGCUGCAUUAGCUAGUUGGUAAGGUAACGGCUUACCAAGGCAACGAUGCAUAGCCGACCUGAGAGGGUGAUCGGCCACACUGGAACUGAGACACGGUCCAGACUCCUACGGGAGGCAGCAGUAGGGAAUCUUCCGCAAUGGGCGAAAGCCUGACGGAGCAACGCCGCGUGAGUGAUGAAGGUCUUCGGAUCGUAAAACUCUGUUAUUAGGGAAGAACAUAUGUGUAAGUAACUGUGCACAUCUUGACGGUACCUAAUCAGAAAGCCACGGCUAACUACGUGCCAGCAGCCGCGGUAAUACGUAGGUGGCAAGCGUUAUCCGGAAUUAUUGGGCGUAAAGCGCGCGUAGGCGGUUUUUUAGUCUGAUGUGAAAGCCCACGGCUCAACCGUGGAGGGUCAUUGGAAACUGGAAAACUUGAGUGCAGAAGAGGAAAGUGGAAUUCCAUGUGUAGCGGUGAAAUGCGCAGAGAUAUGGAGGAACACCAGUGGCGAAGGCGACUUUCUGGUCUGUAACUGACGCUGAUGUGCGAAAGCGUGGGGAUCAAACAGGAUUAGAUACCCUGGUAGUCCACGCCGUAAACGAUGAGUGCUAAGUGUUAGGGGGUUUCCGCCCCUUAGUGCUGCAGCUAACGCAUUAAGCACUCCGCCUGGGGAGUACGACCGCAAGGUUGAAACUCAAAGGAAUUGACGGGGACCCGCACAAGCGGUGGAGCAUGUGGUUUAAUUCGAAGCAACGCGAAGAACCUUACCAAAUCUUGACAUCCUUUGACAACUCUAGAGAUAGAGCCUUCCCCUUCGGGGGACAAAGUGACAGGUGGUGCAUGGUUGUCGUCAGCUCGUGUCGUGAGAUGUUGGGUUAGGUCCCGCAACGAGCGCAACCCUUAAGCUUAGUUGCCAUCAUUAAGUUGGGCACUCUAAGUUGACUGCCGGUGACAAACCGGAGGAAGGUGGGGAUGACGUCAAAUCAUCAUGCCCCUUAUGAUUUGGGCUACACACGUGCUACAAUGGACAAUACAAAGGGCAGCGAAACCGCGAGGUCAAGCAAAUCCCAUAAAGUUGUUCUCAGUUCGGAUUGUAGUCUGCAGCUCGACUACAUGAAGCUGGAAUCGCUAGUAAUCGUAGAUCAGCAUGCUACGGUGAAUACGUUCCCGGGUCU
rnacentral:rRNA from 1 species